rnacentral:rRNA from 1 species
UACGAAGGGGGCUAGCGUUGCUCGGAAUCACUGGGCGUAAAGCGCACGUAGGCGGCGUCUUAAGUCAGGGGUGAAAUCCUGGAGCUCAACUCCAGAACUGCCUUCGAUACUGGAAAGCUCGAGUCCGGGAGAGGUGAGUGGAACUGCGAGUGUAGAGGUGAAAUUCGUAGAUAUUCGCAAGAACACCAGUGGCGAAGGCGGCUCACUGGCCCGGUACUGACGCUGAGGUGCGAAAGCGUGGGGAGCAAACAGG